rnacentral:rRNA from 1 species
AGCUCCAAUAGCGUAUAUUAAAGUUGUUGCGGUUAAAAAGCUCGUAGUUGGAUUUCUGCCGAGGACGACCGGUCCGCCCUGUGGGUGAGCAUCUGGAUCGGCCUGGGCAUCUUCUUGGGGAACGUAGCUGCACUUGACUGUGUGGUGCGGUAUCCAGGACUUUUACCUUGAGGAAAUUAGAGUGUUUCAAGCAGGCGUCCGCCUUGAAUACAUUAGCAUGGAAUAAUAAGAUAGGACCUCGGUUCUAUUUUGUUGGUUUCUAGAGCUGAGGUAAUGAUUAAUAGGGAUAGUUGGGAGCAUUCGUAUUUAACUGUCAGAGGUGAAAUUCUCGGAUUUGUUAAAGACUAACUUAUGCGAAAGCAUUUGCCAAGGAUGUUUUCA